rnacentral:rRNA from 1 species
UUGGAGGGCAAGUCUGGUGCCAGCAGCCGCGGUAAUUCCAGCUCCAAUAGCGUAUAUUAAAGUUGUUGCAGUUAAAAAGCUCGUAGUUGAACUUCGGGAUCAAUGAGUUGGUCGUGCCCUUGGUAUGAACUGGCUUUAUUGGUUCUCACCUUCUAAUGAACCAUAAUGUCAUUCAUUUGAUGUUUUGGGGAAUUAGGACUGUUACCUUGAAAAAAUUAGAGUGUUUAAAGCAGGCUAACGCUUGAAUACAUUAGCAUGGAAUAAUGAAAUAGGACGUUCGAUCCUAUUUUGUUGGUUUCUAGGAUUGACGUAAUGAUUAAUAGGGAUAGUUGGGGGCAUUAGUAUUCAAUUGUCAGAGGUGAAAUUCUUGGAUUUAUUGAAGACUAACUACUGCGAAAGCAUUUGCCAAGGAUGUUUUCAUUAAUCAAGAACGAAAGUUAGGGGAUCGAAGACGAUCAGAUACCGUCGUAGUCUUAACCAUAAACUAUGCCGACUAGGGAUCGGAUGAUGUUAAUUUUUUAAUGACUCAUUCGGCGCCUUACGGGAAAC